rnacentral:lncRNA from 1 species
CUGAUUGCUAUUCUGAAAGAUUUUGAGUGUUUUUUUUUUUGAGAUGUUGCGUCUGAUUUUGGAGAGAGAGUCCACUUUUUCUGAAGUAUACCUUUAUUUAUAGAUGCGAAAGGAGCCUAUAAUGAUGGAAACUGCGACAACACCUUUGGCUUGUGGUUCAAGGUUAGUUGCUGGUUCGUUGAUCUUAACCGAUUCAUAGAAGGAAUGAUGGAAGGCUUCUGGCAGGGACCG